GAUGAAGAACGUAGCGAAAUGCGAUACGUAAUGUGAAUUGCAAAUUCAGUGAAUCAUCGAGUCUUUGAACGCACAUUGCGCCCCCUGGUAUUCCGGGGGGCAUGCCUGUCCGAGCGUCAUUGCUGCCCUCAAGCACGGCUUGUGUGUUGGGCCCCGUCCUCCGAUCCCGGGGGACGGGCCCGAAAGGCAGCGGCGGCACCGCGUCCGGUCCUUGAGCGUAUGGGGCUUUGUCACCCGCUCUGUAGGCCCGGCCGGCGCUUGCCGAUCAACCCAAAUUUUUAUCCAGGUUGACCUCGGAUCAGGUAGGGAUACCCGCUGAACUUAAGCAUAUCAAUAAGCGGAGGA
rnacentral:misc_RNA from 1 species